CUUUCCUUGAUGACGACUGGCGCACGGGUGAGUAACGCGUAUCCAACCUUCCCAUAACUACGGGAUAACCCGUUGAAAGACGGCCUAAUACCGUAUGAUAUCGUUUGCUGACAUCAAAUAACGAUUAAAGGUUUAGCGGUUAUGGAUGGGGAUGCGUCUGAUUAGCUUGUUGGCGGGGUAACGGCCCACCAAGGCUACGAUCAGUAGGGGUUCUGAGAGGAAGGUCCCCCACAUUGGAACUGAGACACGGUCCAAACUCCUACGGGAGGCAGCAGCA
rnacentral:rRNA from 1 species